rnacentral:rRNA from 1 species
UACGUAGGGGGCGAGCGUUGUCCGGAAUCAUUGGGCGUAAAGAGCUCGUAGGCGGCUUGGCAAGUCGGAUGUGAAAACUCCAGGCUCAACCUGGAGCCGCCAUUCGAUACUGCUAUGGCUAGAGUCCGGUAGGGGAGUGUGGAAUUCCCGGUGUAGCGGUGAAAUGCGCAGAUAUCGGGAGGAACACCGAUGGCGAAGGCAGCACUCUGGGCCGGCACUGACGCUGAGGAGCGAAAGCGUGGGAGCGAACGAGG